GCGAGAAAACUUUGCAAUGUGCGAAAGCACGACAAGGUUAAUCCGAGUGGUUUCUGCUAAAGAAACCUUUUGUCAGUCCUAGAAACACUAACGAAUAAGGGGUGGGCAAGUUCUGGUGUCAGCCGCCGCGGUAAAACCAGCACCUCAAGUGGUCAGGAUGAUUAUUGGGCCUAAAGCAUCCGUAGCUCGUUUUGUAAGUUUUCGGUUAAAUCCAUGCGCUUAACGUAUGGGCUGCCGGGAAUACUGCAUAACUAGGAAGUGGGAGAGGUAGACGGUACUCGGUAGGAAGGGGUAAAAUCCUUUGAUCUAUUGAUGACCACCUGCGGCGAAGGCGGUCUACCAGAACACGUUCGACGGUGAGGGAUGAAAGCUGGGGGAGCAAACCGGAUUAGAUACCCAUGUAGUCCCUGAGCGGGCUGGCAAGGCGCAU
rnacentral:rRNA from 1 species